CAGCGCAUUCGUUUUACUUUUUAUCAGUAUUUCGACAGACAUUCAAGUGAGUUUGCUUGAUUUGAUUUUCGCAUUAUAUAUUUUAUAAUUGCUACAACGAGAGUCGUUCGAAAAAUAGAUAGCUUUUAAUAAAAAAGUUAUAUUUUUGAAUAAAAAGAGCACGUCGUUUCAGAAUUUAGUCGUUCCAAAAAAAUAUUUGACUCGCACUGGUGUCAGUUAUGCGAUUUAUAGUUGGCGUUGAACUAAAAAACCGUGUUUAUGUUUUACGUCUCCAUAAACACCAAAAAAUUGUCUACAAGACUUAAAAAAUCUACUAAACCCUAGUUUCUAAUGGUAAUAUUGUUACCACGACUCCUAAAAGCAUGCUACUAAACAUCGUAAAAUCAGGAAAUUAUAAAAAUAUAUAUUCAACUCAAAUCAGUUCAAAUCAACUCAACUCAACUCAACUCAACUCAACUCAACUCAACUCAACUCAACUCAACUCAACUCAAAUGAGCUCAACACAACUUUAAUCAACUGAACUCAUCUCAACUCAACUCAACUCAACUGAACUCAUCUCAAAUCUACUCAACUCAACUCAACUCAAAUCAGCUCAACACAACUUUAAUCAACUGAACUCAUCUCAAAUCAGCUCAACACAACUUUAAUCAACUGAACUCAACUCAAAUCUACUCAACUCAAUUCAAGCGAGAUGAACUGAACUCUACUCAAAUCAACUCACUCGCAUAUGUUCUUUAUAAUGAGUUGACUACUGUCCGCCGCAAAUUGUAUUUAAGAUUUUUCAACGACUUAUCAAACAGCCCUUCUUAUAAGUAUUAUUUUUACAAAGUCAUGUCGGCAAAUUGAGCAAUUUAUUGCAUUUGAACGAUUUGUACAGUGCAAGAAACACUUCUGCGUUGUCAUCAAACCAAAUAAAUUUUGAUGAAACCGCUACGAAUGUAGGAUAAAAUUGCGUACUUUAACUAUAGUCAAAUGCUUAAGAAAACGAAAUUAAAUACAUUAAAGUAUUUAUCUAUCAUUAUACCAUGCUAAGUACACUCACUUUAUGAAAUACAUAAACAUUUAA